AUCCUAACAAAACUCUCUCCUAAACAUGAAGGUUUCUUCUAGCUUUCAUUCUUCUCCCAUAUCCCGACUUUUCAAGUGCAUUAUCUCAACCGAACUUGCUCCUUACACUAACAAUAGGGUUCUUCCUUCGUGAUAGACUUGUUUUUCACCUUAGCAGACUUUUUUCUAACCUUGGCCAACUUAUUAAUCAUGACCGACUUCUUCUUGACCAUGAUGAAGAUCAACUUCUCAGUAACUGAGUUCCUUUCUACAUCUACAUCUUCAUGUUUCUCAUUCGUCAAGAUACCUUUAGCCUUGGCAUAACCCUAACCCUAAUCAAUGCUCUAACCAUCGCUCUAACCCUAACCCUCACCAUCACACUCGCCCUAACCCCAACCCUACAUCCAACUAGACAUCUAAUAUUUCAAGAUGGACUUGCACUUUCCACUUCAGGUAUGCAAGGAUCUGACAAGUGUAGCAUAUGAUCAAUCUCAUGAUGGACUUGCCGGAUCAUGUGAAGUGGGAUCAACACUCAACGGGUUGCAACAGUGUAAUCCAUGCUUGUUUUCCA
rnacentral:sRNA from 1 species